ACGCUCGACACCUACUGGAGGCAGCAGUAGGGAAUUUUCGGCAAUGGGGGGAACCCUGACCGAGCAACGCCGCGUGAAGGAAGAAGGAAUUCGUUCUGUAAACUUCUGUUAUAAAGGAAGAACGGCGGAUAUAGGGAAUGAUAUCCGAGUGACGGUACUUUAUGAGAAAGCCACGGCUAACUACGUGCAGCAGCCGCGGUAAUCUGAGCGGGCUGGCAAGGC
rnacentral:rRNA from 1 species